GCGAGAGUGGCGGAAUUGGCAGACGCGCAGGACUUAGGAUCCUGUGGGCAACCGUGCGGGUUCAAAUCCCGCCUCUCGCACCA
rnacentral:tRNA from 1 species